rnacentral:misc_RNA from 1 species
AUGUCCCAGGAUUCUGAUAUUCAGG